GACGAACGCUGGCGGUGUGCUUAACACAUGCAAGUCGAACGGUAAGGCCCUUUCGGGGGUACACGAGUGGCGAACGGGUGAGUAACACGUGAGUAACCUGCCCUCAUCUCUGGGAUAACAGUCGGAAACGGUUGCUAAUACUGGAUAUGAGCUUGCAAGGCAUCUUGUGGGUUGGAAAGAUUUUUUUGGUUGGGGAUGGACUCGCGGCCUAUCAGCUUGUUGGUGAGGUAGUGGCUCACCAAGGCUUCGACGGGUAGCCGGCCUGAGAGGGCGACCGGCCACAUUGGGACUGAGAUACGGCCCAAACUCCUACGGGAGGCAGCAGGGGGGAAUAUUGCACAAGGGACGGAAGUCUGAUGCAGCAACGCCGCGGGCGGGAUGACGGCCUUCGGGUUGUAAACCGCCUUAAAUUGUGACGAAGCUUUUUGUGACGGUAGCAGUAGAAGAAGCACCGGCUAACUACGUG
rnacentral:rRNA from 1 species